AAAUAUUAAUAUAUGGCAUAGAUUAAAGUGAUUGGGUGAAAUUACUUUAUUUUUGUUAACAGAAUUUCAGAAGGUUGUGGUGGAGACCUUGGUGGAGAUCCUGGACAAGCUGAAGCGCAGUAACAACGGGAACGUAGAAGAGGGUGGAACGCUGCCUGAGGUCCCUAUAAAUGGAGAGGACCAGUCUCGCAAGGUGGCGGAAGACCUGGAGGACCCUCCCAUCCGACAAGCUAUGUGUUCACUGCAGCUAGAUGGGCAAAUGACUCCCUCCUGUGAUGGAAUCAAAUUCAGCAUUCAAGAUUCAGAUUUGAAGUUCAAGAUCCACAUUUACAGUUUCACACUGCAUGUUUGAUA